rnacentral:tRNA from 1 species
UCCCUGGUAGUCCAGUGGUUAGGACUCCAUGUUCCCAGUGUAGGGGGCAUGGGUUCAAUCCCUGGCCAGGGAA